GUUCUGCCAAAGUAUCAAGGUAAGACUUAGCUCAAUGCUUUCUUUUUCUUGAUUUUCACCUGCACACAUUGAAAGAGAACCAACAAUUAUACUACUUCAAUUACUUCAGUUCUAGUAAAUCGACAACAACCAAGCAAUAUCCAACCAACAUAAAGGCUUCCAGCUUCGGCUUAUUUUCAGCACAUUUGAUUCAUAAGCUCAGCCACAAACCAACAGCAUACUUCAAGGUAAUCAUGCUAUCCUAUUAUUCAUACCAGUGAGCUUUCAUAUCAAAGCAUGGACACGAUCAGUUGCACAAGGACAGAAAAUCUUAUAGACAUCUUGAACUUAGUAAACACCUCAACUAUGCGAUCAUGAGCAAGUGACAGUUUACAUGUAUGAGUAAACGAGCAUAUCGAGAUGAAAUCAAAACAAAGAGAAAUUACACCU
rnacentral:lncRNA from 1 species